rnacentral:rRNA from 1 species
UAUUUUGGAAGAGAUGCAUUUAUUAGAUAAAAAACCAAUACAUACUUUUUCAAGUAUGAAAUUUGGUGAUUUACAAUAACUUAGCAAAUCGCAUAGUGAAAACAGGCGAUAAAUCAUUCAAGUUUCUGACCUAUCAGCUUUCGACGGUAUGGUAUUGGCUUACCGUGGCAGUGACGGUUAACGGGGGAUUAGGGUUCGAUUCCGGAGAGGGAGCCUGAGAAACGGCUACCACAUCUAAGGAAGGCAGCAGGCGCGCAAAUUACCCAAUUCUAACAGCAUAAGAGAGGUAGUGACAAGAAAUAACAAUACAAGGCAGUUAAAAUGCUUUGUAAUUGGAAUGAUAGAAAUUUAAACACUUUUUAAAGUAUCAAUUGGAGGGCAAGUCUGGUGCCAGCAGCCGCGGUAAUUCCAGCUCCAAUAGCGUAUAUUAAAAUUGUUGCAGUUAAAAAGCUCGUAGUUGAAUUUCUGUUAAAAAUAACCGGUCUGCUUUUAAUAAAAGUGGUAUCUUGGUGUGUUUUUAGCAAUAAUGUCCUUUGAAAUGUUUUUUACUUUAUUGUAAUAAAUAAUAUUCAGGAUUUUUACUUUGAGAAAAUUAGAGUGUUUCUAGCAGGCUAACGCUUUGAAUACUGCAGCAUGGAAUAAUAAAAUAGGAUUUUAGUUCUACAUUAUUGGUUUUAGGAACUAAAUUAAUGAUUGAUAGGGACAGUUGGGGGCAUUUGUAUUUAACUGUCAGAGGUGAAAUUCUUAGAUUUGUUAAAGACAAACUACUGCGAAAGCAUUUGCCAAAGAUGUUUUCAUUAAUCAAGAAC